GCCUAAAGCCCUGGGCAAACUAGGAAACAUUGUUGCGGAAACAUUGUUUCCUACCAAUGUUUCGCCAUGUUUCCCAGAGUGGGCAAACACUACGAAACAUUAGUGAGAAACAUAGGGAAACAUCAAAUGUUUCUGAAUUUGCUAGGAAACAUUUUUGCUUCCCGGGAAGCAAAUUUUGUUUCCGCAACAAUGUUUCCACGGGUGGGCAAACAUGGAAACAUUUGAGGAAACAUCGAGAAUCACAAAUGUUUUCGCAACAAUGUUUCCUAGUUUGCCCAGGGCUUAAGGG